rnacentral:rRNA from 1 species
UUGAACGCUGGCGGCAUGCUUUACACAUGCAAGUCGAACGGCAGCGCGGGGGCAACCCUGGCGGCGAGUGGCGAACGGGUGAGUAAUAUAUCGGAACAUGUCCGGAAGUGGGGGAUAACGUACCGAAAGGUACGCUAAUACCGCAUAUGCCCUGAGGGGGAAAGGGGGGGAUCGCAAGACCUCUCGCUUUCGGAGUGGCCGAUAUCGGAUUAGCUAGUUGGUGGGGUAAAGGCCUACCAAGGCGACGAUCCGUAGCUGGUCUGAGAGGACGACCAGCCACACUGGGACUGAGACACGGCCCAGACUCCUACGGGAGGCAGCAGUGGGGAAUUUUGGACAAUGGGCGCAAGCCUGAUCCAGCCAUUCCGCGUGAGUGAAGAAGGCCUUCGGGUUGUAAAGCUCUUUCGGCCGGGACGAAAUCGCACGGGUCAAUACCCUGUGUGGAUGACGGUACUGGAAGAAGAAGCACCGGCUAACUACGU